rnacentral:rRNA from 1 species
AGCAGUCGCCACGGUAAGACAGAGGAUGCAAGCGUUAUCCGGAAUUACUGGGCGUAAAGCGCGCGUAGGUGGUUUGUUAAGUUGGAUGUGAAAUCCCCGGGCUCAACCUGGGAACUGCAUUCAAAACUGACUGACUAGAGUAUGGUAGAGGGUGGUGGAAUUUCCUGUGUAGCGGUGAAAUGCGUAGAUAUAGGAAGGAACACCAGUGGCGAAGGCGACCACCUGGACUAAUACUGACACUGAGGUGCGAAAGCGUGGGGAGCAAACAGGAUUAGAUACCCCGGUAGUCCCUGUCUCUUAUAA